AAAUUGAAGAGUUUGAUCAUGGCUCAGAUUGAACGCUGGCGGCAGGCCUAACACAUGCAAGUCGAACGGUAACAGGAAGAAGCUUGCUUCUUUGCUGACGAGUGGCGGACGGGUGAGUAAUGUCUGGGAAACUGCCUGAUGGAGGGGGAUAACUACUGGAAACGGUAGCUAAUACCGCAUAAUGUCGCAAGACCAAAGAGGGGGACCUUCGGGCCUCUUGCCAUCGGAUGUGCCCAGAUGGGAUUAGCUAGUAGGUGGGGUAACGGCUCACCUAGG
rnacentral:rRNA from 1 species